rnacentral:misc_RNA from 1 species
CCUAGAGUUGUAGGCUUUGCCUGCUAUCUCUUACCCAUGUCUUUGAGUACCUCGUUUCCCUCGGCGGGUCCGCCCGCCGAUUGGACAAUUUAAACCAUUUGCAGUUGCAAUCAGCGUCUGAAAAACUUAAUAGUUA